UCAUAUAUUGAUUCAGUCCCACUACAAAUUUUCUUUUUCAUUCCUCUCUCUCGCUUUGUUUCUCUGCAACCAACUCAAGAUGAACCACCCUCCAUCUGACUCAAAGUAAUAUUGAAUCUGUUUGAUUAGCCUUGAGACUUGAUACUGAGAAAGGACUUGAUAAUGGAUAAAAAAGACAGGCUGUGCCAAGAAACAUGGGCAAAAUCUUCAUCUUCUGGUAAUGAAUUACCAAAAAACAUUUCCACCGAGAAACCAUCUUUUAUCAAUUUCAAUUUCAAUUCACAGCAAUAUGAGCAGAAGUGGGAAGAUACCUCUAUCUUUGGCAGUAGGACUAAUUCAUCUUUCCAAGAAUUUAACCCACAAUCUGAAACCCAAUCCUUACUUCCUUCCAACCCCAAUGAUCAUAUCAAAAUGGCAGAUCAAGAAAAUAGUCAAAUUAAUGAGACACUUCAAACCAACAAAAUCCCAGAUUGGGAUCCAAGGG
rnacentral:misc_RNA from 1 species